CAUCACCCACAGCAAGAAAAAAUGGUGAAGUAGGCGAGAGAGCUGCCGUGGCAAGAGGACUUUCCUGUUUUGAUGCCGAGUUUGGUCACGUGACCAGGAAGUUGGAAUUUAAGAUUCCCUCUCAACCACGCGGGUGUCAGCCAUUACACAGAGUACAAAAUGGAGGCACAAAUAACGUCUCGGUGACCACAGGUGUAUCUGUUCAUUGUGGGACUUUAAGAAGCAUUGUCUUUUUACCUCGUUCAAUUCAUUCAAUACGGUUGGAGUCGGAUGUUC